GUCGAGCGGUAGAGAGAAGCUUGCUUCUCUUGAGAGCGGCGGACGGGUGAGUAAUGCCUAGGAAUCUGCCUGGUAGUGGGGGAUAACGCUCGGAAACGGACGCUAAUACCGCAUACGUCCUACGGGAGAAAGCAGGGGACCUUCGGGCCUUGCGCUAUCAGAUGAGCCUAGGUCGGAUUAGCUAGUUGGUGAGGUAAUGGCUCACCAAGGCGACGAUCCGUAACUGGUCUGAGAGGAUGAUCAGUCACACUGGAACUGAGACACGGUCCAGACUCCUACGGGAGGCAGCAGUGGGGAAUAUUGGACAAUGGGCGAAAGCCUGAUCCAGCCAUGCCGCGUGUGUGAAGAAGGUCUUCGGAUUGUAAAGCACUUUAAGUUGGGAGGAAGGGCAUUAACCUAAUACGUUGGUGUCUUGACGUUACCGACAGAAUAAGCACCGGCUAACUCUGUGCCAGCAGCCGCGGUAAUACAGAGGGUGCAAGCGUUAAUCGGAAUUACUG
rnacentral:rRNA from 1 species